AUGUACUUUUACUGCUUUUCCCUUGAAUUUUUAUUUAAGAUGUUCAGGCAAAUAAAAUAGUCCCCAGGUAUAGUCUCCCCAAAAAUUGGGGAGUCCAGGGAUACAGAUCCUUAUCUAAGUCAUGCUACUGAAGGACUAGCAUAUUUCAGGCCCAGGUUCUUCUAUAUCCUUGCCAUUGGUCUCCUAUUCCUUCAUGGCUCAUUGUGAAUUCGUCUGUAACAUUCUGUCAUCUAUUAGUCUUUCAGUUCUUACUAUGUUCCAAAGCUGGUACACUGAUUCAAUCUCAUAUUCCCAGACCAGGGUUUCUUAACCUACAGGUAAUGAACAAUCCCAUGUGUAUCUGUUUUACCUUUUUGUUUCUUGGUCUUUUCAGUUUUGCUUUGUUUUUGUUUUAUGAGAACGAGGACCAUAUAUUUCAUUUGAUUUUUAAAGAGACCCCUCAAAUGCUAAAAAGGGUCAUCCUAGAUAACAGUCAAGAUCUUUGUGACAACCCAGAGUAAUUGUGGACACACUUCCAUGCUGUCCUGAUGUCUUCUUCACCUAUUAGGAUUGAAGAGGAGUCAUGGUCUGCCUAAUGUUAUAAGGGGCAAGACUGACAAGGAUAAACUCAGAUGAAGGUGCUCUUAUUUAGAAAAGGUUAAUAUGAUCUAUAACAUUAAAAUUUCAAUUAACCCUCUAAUGACAAUACAGCUGAUUUUUUUUGUAAUCUUUAAUCGAGCUUAAUCUCUCCUUUAAUAAUAGCAAAGAUGAUCUUGAACAUUCAGAAUCCCUAGACAGUAAAAUCCUUAACACAGAGAGUGUGCAGGGGACAUGGCUACCUAUAAUUCAGCAGUGCUGACAAACUGAAUGACACUGGAUAAAUCAUUUAAUUUUGAUGUCCCUUAGUUACCUUGCCUUGAAAUGGGAAUGCUAAAAGUUUCACUACUUCCUUUGCAAGGUUACUGUGAAUGUAAAAUAGAAUAACUAGAAAGCUAAAAUAUAUAUGUAAUUUAUGUAUCUGUAAGUAAUGUGUGGAACUUUUAAGCCUUGUAUGGGAAUAAAACAAAUAUACACUGUACUAUUCUAUGAACAAAUCUGUUGGCCAACAUUCUGAUAUUGAAUAUUUAUACGCGAUAUAAUGUCUCCAUUUAUUUUCUGGACAGAAUAUAUGAGAUUUCUCAACAGAGGAUUUCCCGUUCUCUUAUUUAAGUAUUCUCCUCAGUGUUUGGGAGGCUGUAUACUAAACUAGAGAAAAGGUAUUUGUUUGUAGUCAAACAUAAGCUUUUAUAUCUACUCUGCCCUUUUACUAGAUCUGGGUCUCUGGGAAGUUAGUAGGUCCUUUAUGAAUGACAGUGUUCUUGUGUUUUGGCAAUACCAACUAUAGGUUUUCCUAACAUCAGUUUUGUGCUUUGUCAAGUCUCUUGUUUGCUUGGUUUAAAUCCCACUUCCAACUUCUUAAAGUCUAAUUAUAGAAUUGUCUUGAGUUUAUUGAUGUUUAACUUCUAGGGCGGUCUGUGAAUGUCAUCGAAAUGUUGAUAACUUAUUCUUCUAGCAGAAAGAAAUCCUCUAGGAUAUGCUGAACCUUCUGAAAAUGAUUUUCUUACCUCUAUUUACAAGUAUCUCAAUUUUAAAAUCACACUUCUCAAAGUAAAGCAAAAAUAGCCAAUGAAGAAUAUUUCUAAAACUCAAGAUUCAUGUGGACUCCUGCUUCUGCUGGUACAGUCCAGCACUGGCAAAUCUGUGGCAAGACGUUCAGUUCCAGAGCCUCCAUGUCAAGGCCAGUCUACUGGCUUCAAGCCAAGAUGGAGAAAUGGAAACUCCAAAAGAUUAAGCAAGAAGCCCAUAGGAACACAAUAAGUAGAGGUAGGAUUUGAAUUUAUAUCUGUCUAGUUCC